AGAUAAUCUUGCCGGAUGAUGAGAACUUUCUGCUGCUUUUCCGACGGGAAACUCCCUUGGACAACAGUGUGGAAUUCAUGCGGAUCUGGCGCAGUUACGAUGCUGACAGCAGUGGAUUUAUUUCAGCUGGCGAGCUUAAAGAUUUCCUGCGAGAUCUCUUUUUGCAGCAUGACAAGGUGGUAACUGAAGUGAAGCUGGAAGAAUAUACUGAUACCAUGGUAAGAGAAGAUGGUGUUAAUAUUGCUUAGAUUACAGUGCUGCCUAGAAAUCUCCUUCAGGGUCAUUAUGUGC
rnacentral:lncRNA from 14 species